rnacentral:lncRNA from 1 species
AACCAAUUAUGUUUUUAGCAGAUAACGCGACAAUCAUCUUCCUCCUCCAACCCCCAUAGCCACUGCCCAAGAAAGGAGUGGACACAAGAGAGACUCCAGGAACAUCAGAGGAGUAGAUAAAAAGGGGACUGGUAUGGUCCACUGAGGAGGUACUAGCAUUCAUAUUAGAAGCCAUGAACAACAAUCAGUUUGAAAUAAAAAAAAAUCUGGCUGGUAGAGUCCACUGAGGAGGUACUAGCAUUCAUAUUAGAAUCCAUGAACAAUAAUCAGUUUGAAAUAAAAAAAAAACCAGUCUCAGAACCCACAUGCAAAACAUACAACACUUAGAACAGGGAUAGAGUUACCCUCCUUCUUCGCGACCGGAGAAGAACGGCCUUCAAUCGCCGGAUAAAACUCUAGGUUCAAAACCCUAGGUCCAACCGCCGGAAACUUUAUUGGAAACUUACCGAAAUAGGGUCAGGGAUGUCGGAAAAUCACCCAAAACAUCCACCGUUGAGGAUCGAGCCACCGGAUAGUAGUAAAACCCUAGGUUCAACCACCAGAAACCCUAGAAUCUCGAGAGUCACCGGAAAAUCACCCAAAACGUUUGAGUGAAGAAGAUAUAGCCAGAUAUCACUAUGAAAGUCUCUGAUCAACAUCCGAUUUAGAUCAGAAUCGUCAUCGACCAAAUACGUCAGAAACACCCCCAAAAUUUCCAACGAGACUUCAACCAAGAUAACAAGAUGCAGGAAAGCAUAGUCGGAUCAUCGUCUAGGCUCUGAUACCAUGAAAAUAUCAAGAAAUCCAGACGAAAUCGAAGAACAGGAUGAGAGAGAGUCGGUUAGGUAGAAGCUUCUAGAGAGCAUUUUAGAGAGAGAAAUAAUCUGUAUUGAAAUGAAAAAU